ACUCAAAGGACGUUCAACACAAAUGGAACUCACCCAGCUCGUCCUGCAAGAAGCUGUCAGAACGUCGACGGUGUGUGGAAGCUGUGAGAGAAAUCAGACAGACCACCAUGGGGCUUUAUGUGAUUUGCAAUGAGAGUGAGGAUGAAGAGGAAGAGCCAGAGGAUGUUGGAGUGGUGAUCGAAGGGGUGGAUCUGUUAACCAACCUGACAAGUAUUUCCUCUGGACUUGUCAUGCUUUUUGGCCUGAUUUACACACUCAACCGGAACUGUCCCCAGGAACUCAAAUUCACAUUUGAGUUCUUCCAGAGAGUGUUGAUGAACCUGGAUGGGAAGAAACUGUCCCAAAGGUCCAAGCACUUAAAAUGCUUCACUGAGCUCAGUAAAGCGCUGGAAAGUUGAGCUGAUUUUGGCUUCACUGGAAUGAAGCCCCUCUCACUAGUUAAAUGAACUAUCCCUGGAACUGCUUGAAUUUCACAUGAUUGUUACGGUUUGGCAUCUUCUAUAUUGCCAUUGUCUUAUAUGUGAACUUUCUGAUGCUGAUUGCAUACUAUUAUCUUGUUUACGUAUGGUAAUCAAUCAACAAUCAACAUUUAUUUAUAUAGCACUUUAUAGCAACCAGUAGGUAUCCAAAGUGCUUCACAUCAGAAACCAAGAAUAGAAUAACAUAUCAUACAAUAAAAAGAAUUAAACGUAGAAAACCGUAAAAUCCAAAAAGGUUACAUAGAAACAGGAGGAGGAGAGGGAACUUGUCACACCACUACUACGUAUUAAAAGCCAUUCUAAACAAAUAGGUUUUGAGUUUGGAUCUAAAAAGAGCUACAUCUGUAAUAGUGUGAAUAUCCGGAAGGAAUAAGCAGAAGUUGGUCAGCAGUGGCCGUGACUCACAUUAAGUGCUUAUCCCCUAAGGCCUAAGCACUUCACGUUAAAAUACUUAAGUGAGCUCACAAGUAAAUUGUUGGAAAGUUGAGCUAGCCACAUUUUGGAUUUGUUGGAAACUGACAUUUUUCAUGACCUGGUAAAUCACUUGAAUGAAGCCCCGCUCACUUUUUCAUGUGAUUUAAUUUGUUUGUUUUUUUUCUGGUAUCUUUUAUUGCAACUUUCAUUAUGUGAACUUGAAUUCUUUUGGUUUAGCAGUGACAGUAAAUGGAACAUGGAAUUACCAUUUUAAAUGCUAAUAAAGUUUGUGUUGCUUUCG